AGAGUUUGAUCCUGGCUCAGGAUGAACGCUGGCGGCGUGCUUAACACAUGCAAGUCGAGCGAAGCACUUUUUAGAACUCUUCGGAGGGAAGAGAGGGUGACUUAGCGGCGGACGGGUGAGUAACGCGUGGGCAACCUGCCUUACACAGGGGGAUAACAAUUAGAAAUGAUUGCUAAUACCGCAUAAGACCACGGUACUGCAUGGUACAGUGGUAAAAACUGAGGUGGUGUAAGAUGGGCCCGCGUCUGAUUAGGUAGUUGGUGGGGUAGAAGCCUACCAAGCCGACGAUCAGUAGCCGACCUGAGGGGGCGACCGGCCACAUUGGGACUGAGACACGGCCCAAACUCCUACGGGAGGCAGCAGUGGGGAAUAUUGCACAAUGGGGGAAACCCUGAUGCAGCGACGCCGCGUGAGUGAGGAAGUAUUUCGGUAUGUAAAGCUCUAUCAGCAGGGAAGAAAAUGACGGUACCUGACUAAGAAGCCCCGGCUAACUACGUG
rnacentral:rRNA from 1 species